AGAGUUUGAUCCUGGCUCAGGACGAACGCUGGCGGCGUGCCUAACACAUGCAAGUCGAGCGAUGAAGCCCUUCGGGGUGGAUUAGCGGCGGACGGGUGAGUAACACGUGGGUAACCUACCUCAAAGAGGGGGAUAGCCUCCCGAAAGGGAGAUUAAUACCGCAUAACAUUAGUUUUUCGCAUGAAGAACUAAUUAAAGGAGUAAUCCGCUUUGAGAUGGACCCGCGGCGCAUUAGCUAGUUGGUGAGGUAAUAGCUCACCAAGGCGACGAUGCGUAGCCGACCUGAGAGGGUGAUCGGCCACAUUGGAACUGAGAUACGGUCCAGACUCCUACGGGAGGCAGCAGUGGGGAAUAUUGCACAAUGGGCGAAAGCCUGAUGCAGCAACGCCGCGUGAGUGAUGAAGGCCUUCGGGUUGUAAAGCUCUGUCUUUGGGGACGAUAAUGACGGUACCCAAGA
rnacentral:rRNA from 1 species